AGGGGCGUAGCUCAGAUGGUUUAGAGCGUUGCAGUCACAUUGCAAAGGUCAUCGGUUCGAGCCCGAUCGUCCCUA
rnacentral:tRNA from 1 species